GCCCGGGUAGCUCAGCCUGGUUAGAGCGCCGGGCUGUGGAAACCCGGAGGUCCCGGGUUCAAAUCCCGGCCCGGGCC
rnacentral:tRNA from 1 species